AAGCCAAACAAUCAGCCCACUUAUCUGAAUGUGUUUCUGCAGAAAUGUAGAGAAAGCCGGUAAUAGUGAUGCCAUGUAAUGAGCCUUAAGGAAAACUGAGAUCAUUAAGGUCCCUAAAAAUGGCUAGAAUA
ensembl:snoRNA